UACAGAGGGGGCAAGCGUUGUUCGGAAUUACUGGGCGUAAAGGGCGCGUAGGCGGCCUGUUAAGUCGAACGUGAAAUCCCCGGGCUCAACCCGGGAACUGCGUCCGAUACUGGCAGGCUUGAAUCCGGGAGAGGGAUGCGGAAUUCCAGGUGUAGCGGUGAAAUGCGUAGAUAUCUGGAGGAAUACCGGUGGCGAAGGCGGCAUCCUGGACCGACAUUGACGCUGAGGAGCGAAAGUGUGGGGAGCGAACAGG
rnacentral:rRNA from 1 species